rnacentral:tRNA from 2 species
AAAGAAUUAGUUAAAACAUAACAUAAAUAUGUCAAAUUUAAAUUAUUAUUUAUAUAUAAUAUUCUUUU